rnacentral:rRNA from 1 species
UACGUAGGGUGCGAGCGUUGUCCGGAAUUAUUGGGCGUAAAGAGCUUGUAGGUGGCUCGUCGCGUCGGGAGUGAAAACCCGCGGCUUAACCGCGGGCCUGCUUUCGAUACGGGCGGGCUAGAGUUCGGCAGGGGAGACUGGAAUUCCUGGUGUAGCGGUGGAAUGCGCAGAUAUCAGGAGGAACACCGGUGGCGAAGGCGGGUCUCUGGGCCGAUGCUGACACUGAGGAGCGAAAGCGUGGGGAGCGAACAGG